CAAUAGCGUACAUUUAAGUUGCUGCAGUUAAAAAGCUCGUAGUUGGAUUUCGGGUGGGAAUGGCCGGUCCGCCGUUUCGGUGUGCACUUGCUACGCCCACCUUGCUGCCGGGGACGUGCUCUUGAGUUCACGCUCGGGACACGGAGUCGGCGAGGUUACUUUGAGUAAAUUAGAGUGUUCAAAGCAGGCCUACGCUCUGAAUACAUUAGCAUGGAAUAACACGAUAGGACUCUGGCCUAUCUUGUUGGUCUGUAGGACCGGAGUAAUGAUUAAGAGGGACAGUCGGGGGCAUUCGUAUUUCAUUGUCAGAGGUGAAAUUCUUGGAUUUAUGAAAGACGAACUACUGCGAAAGCAUUUGCCAAGGAUGUUUUCAUUAA
rnacentral:rRNA from 1 species